UUUUUUCCUCGAGUCGUUGAUUUCACACUGCCAAGAAAAGCCUCUAGCUAGAAUUUUGGUGCCCGUACCGCAAACCGACACAGGUAGUCAAGAUGAGAAUUCUAAGGUGAGCGAGCGAACUCUCGUUAAGGAACUCGGCAAAAUGACCCCGUAACUUCGGGAGAAGGGGUGCUCUUUAGGGUUAACGCCCAGGAGAGCCGCAGUGAAUAGGCCCAAGCGACUGUUUAUCAAAAACACAGGUCUCUGCUAAACCGUAAGGUGAUGUAUAGGGGCUGACGCCUGCCCGGUGCUGGAAGGUUAAGAGGAGUGGUUAGCUUCGGCGAAGCUACGAAUCGAAGCCCCAGUAAACGGCGGCCGUAACUAUAACGGUCCUAAGGUAGCGAAAUUCCUUGUCGGGUAAGUUCCGACCCGCACGAAAGGCGUAACGAUUUGGGCACUGUCUCAACGAGAGACUCGGUGAAAUCAUAGUACCUGUGAAGAUGCAGGUUACCCGCGACAGGACGGAAAGACCCCGUGGAGCUUUACUGUAGUCUGAUAUUGAAAUUCGUCACAGCUUGUACAGGAUAGGUAGGAGCCUUUGAUACGUGAGCGCUAGCUUACGUGGAGGCGUUGUUGGGAUACUACCCUCGCUGUGUUGGAUUUCUAACCCGCACCAUUUAUCAUGGUGGGAGACAGUGUCAGAUGGGCAGUUUGACUGGGGCGGUCGCCUCCUAAAGAGUAACGGAGGCGCUCAAAGGUUUCCUCAGAAUGGUUGGAAAUCAUUCAUAGAGUGUAAAGGCAUAAGGAAGCUUGACUGCGAGACUUACAAGUCGAGCAGGGUCGAAAGACGGACUUAGUGAUCCGGUGGUUCCGCAUGGAAGGGCCAUCGCUCAACGGAUAAAAGCUACCCCGGGGAUAACAGGCUUAUCUCCCCCAAGAGUUCACAUCGACGGGGAGGUUUGGCACCUCGAUGUCGGCUCAUCGCAUCCUGGGGCUGUAGUCGGUCCCAAGGGUUGGGCUGUUCGCCCAUUAAAGCGGUACGCGAGCUGGGUUCAGAACGUCGUGAGACAGUUCGGUCCCUAUCCGUCGUGGGCGUAGGAAAUUUGAGAGGAGCUGUCCUUAGUACGAGAGGACCGGGAUGGACAUACCUCUGGUGUACCAGUUGUCGUGCCAACGGCAUCGCUGGGUAGCUAUGUAUGGACGGGAUAAGUGCUGAAAGCAUCUAAGCAUGAAGCCCCCCUCAAGAUGAGAUUUCCCAACUUCGGUUAUAAGAUCCCUCAAAGAUGAUGAGGUUAAUAGGUUCGAGGUGGAAGCAUAGCGAUAUGUGGAGCUGACGAAUACUAAUCGAUCGAAGACUUAAUCAAA
rnacentral:rRNA from 1 species